ACUCAAAUGAAUUGACGGGGACCCGCACAAGCAGCGGAGCAUGUUGCUUAAUUCGAUGCAACGCGAAGAACCUUACCUGGAUUGAACUACGUAGGAAAAGCUGCAGAGAUGUAGUGUCCUUCGGGGCCUGCGAUAGGUGGUGCAUGGCUGUCGUCAGCUCGUGUCGUGAGAUGUUGGGUUAAGUCCCGCAACGAGCGCAACCCUUGUCUUAUGUUGCUAACGCGUUAUGGCGAGGACUCAUAAGAGACUGCCGUGGUCAACACGGAGGAAGGUGGGGAUGACGUCAAGUCCUCAUGCCCCUUACGUCCAGGGCUGCAAACAUGCUACAAUGGCCGGUACAAAGAGCUGCGAACUCGCGAGAGUAAGCGAAUCUCAUAAAGCCGGUCUCAGUUCGGAUUGAAGUCUGCAACUCGACUUCAUGAAGCUGGAGUUGCUAGUAAUCCCAGAUCAGCAUUGCUGGGGUGAAUACGUUCCCGGGUCUUGCACACACCGCCCGU
rnacentral:rRNA from 1 species